rnacentral:sRNA from 1 species
CAGCUGCUGCAGCAGCAGCUGCUGCUGUUGUUGCUGCUGUACCGCUGCAGCAGCUGUUGCAGCAGCAGCUGCUGCUGUUGUUGCUGCUGCACCGCUGCAGCAGCAGCUGCAGCAGCAGCUGCAGCAGCAGCUGCAGCAGCAGCUGCAGCAGCAGCUGCUGCUGUUGUUGCAGCUGCACCGCUACAGCAGCUGUUGCAGCAGCAGCUGCUGCUGUUGUUGCAGCUGCACCGCUGCAGCAGCUGCUGCAGUAGCAGCUGCUGCUGCUGCUGCAGCUAGAGCAG